rnacentral:rRNA from 1 species
AAUAGAUACCCGGGUAGUCCUAGCUGUAAACGAUGAGCACUGGGUUGAGGGGGACUUCCACAUCCUCUCGGCCGUAGCGAAAGCGUUAAGUGCUCCGCCUGGGGAGUAUGGCCGCAAGGCUGAAACUCAAAGGAAUUGACGGGGGCUCACACAAGCGGUGGAGGAUGUGGCUUAAUUCGAGGCUACGCGAAGAACCUUAUCCUAGAUUUGACAUGGUUGAGAAUCUCCUUGAAAGAGGAGAGUGCCCUUCGGGGAGCUCUUUCACAGGUGCUGCAUGGCUGUCGUCAGCUCGUGUCGUGAGAUGUUGGGUUAAGUCCCUUAACGAGCGAAACCCUUAUCUUUAGUUGCCAGCGGGUCAAGCCGGGGACUCUAAAGAGACUGCUGGUGUCAAACCGGAGGAAGGUGGGGAUGACGUCAAGUCCUCAUGGCCUUUAUGUCUAGGGCUGCACACGUCCUACAAUGGCACGUACGAAAGGGAAGCCAAGCCGCGAGGCCGCGCUAAUCCCAAAAAGCGUGCCCCAGUUCGGAUUGCAGG